AUGGCUCAGGAUGAACGCUGGCGGCGUGCUUAACACAUGCAAGUCGAACGAAGAUGCCGGAGUGCUUGCACUUUGGCAGACUGAGUGGCGGACGGGUGAGUAACGCGUGGGUAACCUGCCUUAUACAGGGGGAUAACAGUUGGAAACGACUGCUAAUACCGCAUAAGCGCACGGUAUCGCAUGAUACAGUGUGAAAAACUCCGGUGGUACAGGAUGGACCCGCGUCUGAUUAGCUGGUUGGUGAGGUAACGGCUCACCAAGGCGACGAUCAGUAGCCGGCUUGAGAGAGUGAACGGCCACAUUGGGACUGAGACACGGCCCAAACUCCUACGGGAGGCAGCAGUGGGGAAUAUUGCACAAUGGGGGAAACCCUGAUGCAGCGACGCCGCGUGAGUGAAGAAGUAUCUCGGUAUGUAAAGCUCUAUCAGCAGGGAAGAAAAUGACGGUACCUGACUAAGAAGCCCCGGCUAACUACGUG
rnacentral:rRNA from 1 species